rnacentral:rRNA from 1 species
UAAUACGGAGGGUGCAAGCGUUAAUCGGAAUUACUGGGCGUAAAGCGCACGCAGGUGGCUGAGAUAGUCGAUUGUGAAAGCCCUGGGCUUAACCUGGGAAUUGCAUUCGAUACUACUCAGCUAGAGUGUGGGAGAGGGAAGUGGAAUUCCCGGUGUAGCGGUGAAAUGCGUAGAUAUCGGGAGGAACAUCAGUGGCGAAGGCGGCUUCCUGGCCCAACACUGACACUCAGGUGCGACAGCGUGGGGAGCAAACA